UUGGAGCCAUCUUCUGUUUUUAUCUCUGUGGGCAACACUGCAAGAUGGAUUUAGCAGACCGCAGCUUGCAGCCUGUAGACGGGAAGUGAACAUUAGAUUCAAUGGAUUCUUCUAAUCUGAUUUUACUUAAACAUGGUCAAUUACUUUUCCUUGUCACUAAAACAUUACAUUAAGUUGAUCCUAAAACAACAUCUAAAUCUCUAAUUUGGAGGGACAUUCUGAGCAGCAACUCUCCAAAAUUUGCCUUUUUUCAAUAGCAGGAAAUUUACUAUUUGCUAUUUGAAAGUUCUUCAUACUUUCAUCAAGUUCUACACACACACACACACACACACACUCUGCUGGUUUGUGUGAUCUUAUUCUCAUUGUUCCACGGUUUUCUUCUUGCUUUAUUCUGGCUUCUGCAAUCGAUGGUGUUGUUUUUCCAUAAAACAUGAAUGUGCAGAAUAGCUCCGACUUCCCUUCUCUUCCUCUCUGUGGCUGAGGGUCUCUAGGACCUUCGCUCACACCUGUGAGGGCUCUUGAGUCCUGUGUCACUUGUACGGAGCCCUGGAUUUCACAGCCUCCAAGGAUCAGAUGUCUUCUGUUCAAAUGCUGGGAAUAGAAGCUGCAUUUGGUAAAUAAUAGCUUAAAGCAUCGGAAAUAAAGCAAG
rnacentral:lncRNA from 1 species